GGUUAGCAUGAAGUUAUUUUUUUAAGUAAGUUGAUUAAUUGGCCAAUAGAAUACUGACACACAUACAACCUCACCUGCGUGUCAUUAUUCUAUUGGUCAAUUGACCAACUUACCCAAAAAUAAACUUCAUACUAACC
rnacentral:pre_miRNA from 1 species